UUCCGUUUUCUUUGUGCAAAAUUUAGAAAACAAGUACUCUGUCUGUGGAACUCCCCCCACCCCAAAACCAAACCAAACCAAACAACAAAAAAACCGCCGGGUGCCGUAAACUCCAGAACUUUGGAAGGCUCUCUUGAGCCCAGGAGUUCGAGACCAGCCUGGGCAACGUAGUGAGACACCCCCCCCCCCACCUUCACUAUUUAAAAAAUAAAACUGGGAUGACGGUCCCGUCUCUAGCUUCUGGGCAAACCCGGCCAAUCCCGUAUGUCUGUGGAUCCUAUCGCUUAUUUUCUUCAUAUAUAUCGAAUGAUAACGAGCCCUAGAGGAAUGGACCCCUGUAUUUCUUUGGCAGGUAUCCUUAUAGCACACUGUCAGAUCAAGCCUAGGGUUCCAGCAAAAUGUAAAUUAGUGGCCUCUGCACCACUGGAGGAUGAGGUCACCCAGGCUGGAAUGGAUGGUGUGAUCAUGGCUCACUGCAACAUCGAACUCCUGGCCUCAAGUGAUUCUCCCACCUCAGCCUCCUGAGCUGUUGAGACUACAGACUCUUCACCAUGGAGUCCACCGCUUCCUGCACCCGCAGCUGCUGCAGCUCCGCCAUGGCGACCCCGCGCUGCCCCGCGCCGCGCCGCGGCGGCGCCCACAUGGAAUCGACUCACGGGCCCGCCUCCUCACCGCCCUUCGCUGCCAGCCCUUCCCGGGCCCACACCGCCCCCUGGCGGCCGAGCGGAGCCACUGUACGCCGGCGUCCUCGAGCCCACCGCCCUCCUCCCGCCUGGGAACCGAUCACGGGAACACCUGCCUUGCGGCUGCAGCCUUUCUUUCCUCCUCCCCUCCCUUGAUCCCUUCCCUUUCAUUCCUUGAAAAUAUUUAAUGUAAUUUACAGGCCGGGCGUAGCGGCUCACGCCUGUAAUCCCAGCACUUUGGGAGGCCGAGGUGGGCGGAUCACUAGGUCAGGAGUUCGACACCAGCCUGACUAACAUGGUGAAACCCCGUCUCUAUUAAAAAUACAAAAAUUAGCCGGGCGGCGUGCUGGCGCGUGCCUGUAAUCACAACUACAGUGGGUUGCGGCAGGAGAAUCGCUUGAACCCGGGAGGCAGAGGCUGCAAUGAGCCGAGAUUGUGCCACUGUACUCCAGCCUGGGCAACUCUGUCUCAAAAAAAAAAAGUAAUAUACAUACAGAUAAAUGCCCAGAUUUUAGGCGUGCGGCUUGAUGAGUUUUAACAAACCCUGUCGGCCAGCAUGGUGGCUCACGCCUGUAAUCCCAGAAUUUUGGGAGGCCAAGACGGGUGGAUCACUUGGGCUUAGGAGUUCGAGACCAGCUUGGCCAACAUGACGAAACCUUGUCUCUACUAAAAAUACAAAAAUUAGCUGGGCAUCGUGGCACAUACCUGUAGUCCCAGCUACUUGGGAGGCAGGGGCAGGAGAAAUGCUUGAACCGUACAGGUAGCGGUUACAAGCUUUCCUCCUACCUCUGCCUAUCAAAGGGAUUACAGGUAUGUACCACCCCCCCAGUACAGAUUUUGUUUUCUUUUGGGUAAAUAUCUAGAAAUGAAAUUGUUGGAUCACAGUGUAGAUGUAUGUUUAUGCAUUUCUUUCUUUCUUUCUUUUUUUUUUGAGACAGAGUUUCACUCUUGUUGUCUAGGCUGGAGUGCAAUGGCAUGAUCUUGGCUCACCGAAACCUGUGCCUCCCGGGUUCAAGUGAUUCUCCUGCCCCAGCCUCUCAAGUAGCUGGGAUUACAGACAUGCGCCACCAUGACCGGCUAAUUUUGUAUUUUCAGUUUCUUCAUGUUGGUCAGGCUGGUCUCAAACUCCUGACCUCAGGUGAUCCACCUGCCUCGGCCUCCCAAAGUGCUGGGAUCACAGGCAUGAGCCACCACACUCUGCCUAUGCAUUUAUUUCUAAUAAAAAAUAAACCUCAGAGACAAA